UCCAGUGGCGCAGGGUGCCUGUUUGAUCAGUAAGCUUUCAGGCUGAGAUUAUACCUGUUGAACCUGAACCGGUUAGUACCGGCGUAGGAACUGCCAUAAAGCGACCAC
rnacentral:ncRNA from 1 species